rnacentral:piRNA from 1 species
UGCCAGGUUUGGGGAGGUGAUGCCAGU